rnacentral:rRNA from 1 species
GCGGCUCUGGCGGACCGGCCCACAUUUACCUAAACACAAUGUCAAUAGGAUGUUUCUUUUUACGUCUAACGACGCAAUACAAAGAAAACUUUCGACAACGGAUCUCUUGGUUCUCCCAUCGAUGAAGAACGCAGCGAAAUGCGAUAAGUAAUGUGAAUUGCAGAAUUCAGUGAAUCAUCGAAUCUUUGAACGCACCUUGCGCUCUUGGGUAUUCCCAAGAGCAUGCCUGUUGGAGUGUCAUGAAUCCUCUUCGCCUCGAGUUUUUUUUGACUACGAGGAGAAGGAUGUGAGUGCUGGUCUUUGCCGACCUCGCUUGAAAUGGAGGAGUGGGCUUUGCGAUACGCGCGAGCGCCGAAUCAUCGUUAUGAUUUCUUAUCGAUGGUGUAGGCAGCGAGCAAAGUAGAGCGUCUAAAGUUCCGCUUUCGAACCCCAUCUAUACACAUCUGGCCUCCAAUCAGGUAGGACUACCCGCUGAACUUAAGCAUAUCAAUAAGCGGAGGAA